rnacentral:rRNA from 1 species
AUGAACCAAGAAAUCCUAACUGACAGACAACCAUCACAGAGUGAGGAACAAGGACAACAUCCACAGCCGCAUGGGGCCUUCACGCAAGAGCACGCACCACAUGACCAGCUGCUGCAGCAAGGCGGCGGCCGGACCCCGGCGUCGUCCGGCCACCUGCGGCGCAAGAUCACGCUGAUUCCGCUCGUCUUCCUCAUCUACUUCGAGGUGGCAGGCGGCCCGUACGGCUCCGAGAAGGCGGUCCGCGCGGCGGGGCCGCUGUUCACGCUGCUCGGCUUCCUCGUCUUCCCCUUCGCGUGGGGCGUCCCGGAGUCGCUAGUCACCGCAGAGCUCGCCGCCGCGUUCCCGGGCAACGGCGGCUUCGUCCGGUGGGCCGACCACGCCUUCGGCCCGCUCGCGGGCUCCCUCAUCGGCACGUGGAAGUACCUCAGCAUCGUCAUCAACAUCGCCGCCUACCCGGCCCUCGUCGCCGACUACCUUGGCGGCGUGGCCCCCGCGGUCGCGGAGCCCGGUAGGACGCGCACGGGCACGGUGAUCGGCAUGACGCUGUUCCUCUCGUUCGUGAACUACGCUGGCCUGAGCAUUGUCGGCUGGGGCACGGUGGCGCUGGGGAUAGUGUCGCUGGCCCCGUUCGUGCUGAUGACGGCGAUGGCGGUGCCCAAGGUGCGACCGCGUCGGUGGGCGUCGCAGGUGAAUGGGAGGAAGGACUGGAGACUAUUCUUCAACACGCUCUUCUGGAACCUCAACUACUGGGAUAGCGCGAGCACCAUGGCUGGCGAGGUGGAGCGGCCGGAGCGGACGUUCCCGCGGGCGCUGGCGGUGGCGGUUGUUCUGAUCGCUGUCAGUUACCUGCUGCCGCUUAUGGCCGCCACCGGCGCCACGGACGCACCGCCGAAUGCCUGGGUCAAUGGCUACUUGGCCGACGCCGCAGGCAUCAUCGGGGGCCAAUGGCUCAAGUAUUGGACCGGGGCCGGUGCGGUGAUCUCCUCCAUCGGCAUGUUCGAGGCCCAGAUGAGCAGUGGCUCGUUCCAGCUCCUCGGGAUGGCGGAACUCGGCCUCCUCCCGUCCGUCUUUGCCCGCCGCGCUGCCUAUACCGGGACCCCAUGGGUUGCCAUCGCCGCGUCGACCGCCGUCGCGAUCGCCGUCUCCUUCCUCGGCUUCGACGACGUCGUCGCCACCGCCAACUUCUUGUAUAGCUUGGGCACGCUGCUCGAGUUUGCCUCCUUCAUCUGGCUCCGUGUCAAGCACCCGGCGGUGAAGCGCCCCUACCGCGUGCCACUGCCGCUGCCUGCGCUCGUGGCCAUGUGCGCCGUGCCGUCGGCUUUUCUGGCCUAUGUGUGUGCGGUGGCCGGGUGGAGGGUGUUCGCUGUCGCGGCUGGGCUGACGGCGCUCGGUGUCGGUUGGCAUGGCAUCAUGAGGGAGUGCAGGGCUAGGAAGUUGCUCAGGUUCAACAACGCGGUUGCUGCUGUCCAUCAGGAGGAUGCUGAAGACACGGUGUGA